CUCAAGGGAGGUACAGAAGAGGAUUCGAUGACGUCAGCUGUCAGAAAAAAAGUUGUUGACGUAAUCGAUUGAGCGAUCUGUUGAAGGUGGAAUAUCGUACUCGUACUAAGUUUAUCACUAUCGUAUCGUUUCGACUUUCGUUAUUGUAUGGCUGUCGGCUGCCGUUUGUUUAUGUUUAUGUGCUUUCCUCAUCACUCUCCUCCUUCACUUCAACUAAGUUACUAAGUUUAAGUUUACUAUUUAUUUAUAGGCCUACAUACAGUUUAAAGUUAAAGGGCAAAAAGUGCUGCUGUCGCAACCAUCAAUGAUUAGGAUUGGAGUGGACGAAGAAACAUUUAUUUCCAUUUUAUUUGAUUUUAAAAGUUUUUGUAAUUUCUUUACAUAAUUUGGUUUUAACUUGCAUAGAAUAUAAUAAAUAGUUUUGUCUAAA